rnacentral:rRNA from 1 species
CCUACGGGAGGCAGCAGUGGGGAAUAUUGCACAAUGGGGGAAACCCUGACGCAGCAACGCCGCGUGAGUGAGGAAGGCCUUCGGGUUGUAAAGCUCUGUCAGAUGGGAAGAAACUACAUUGGUCUAAUAGGCCAGUGUACUGACGGUACCAUCAGAGGAAGCACCGGCUAACUUCGUGCCAGCAGCCGCG